GUUGGUUGUGAGGCUGACGAACGUUGAGUGGGCUGAGCUAGGCUUUGUCUCUAUUCGAAACUUGACCUCAAAUCAGGUAGGACUACCCGCUGAACUUAAGCAUAUCAAUAAGCGGAGGAAAAGAAACUAACAAGGAUUCCCCUAGUAACUGCGAGUGAAGCGGG
rnacentral:rRNA from 1 species